UUUCAUAGUGCAUAUCUCUGGAAGUAUUUAUGGUAGAGUCCUGGAACUUGGUAUGGAUAUAUGUAUGUAUAUGAACUCAAUCUCAAGCUCAUGGAAAAAUAUGGGUUUAUUGGAAAUUGCAGCGUGCCACCGUAGAACUUGGAAUAGAGGUAAAUGAAAUCAGUCCCAAAUUUAUGAAAAAUGGGGGUAUAUGAAAACGAUCUCGUAGCCAGCUACGAGAGCUAGCGGUAUAAGCCAUAUAAACUAAAAUUCUGGUGACGCAUAGAUACCUCUGGAAGCAUUUACAUAGAAUACUGAGAUGAGAAAACCGGGCGCGACACCUUCUGGAAAGUAACAUAAUCACCUGGUGUAUCCCUGGAACCAUGUUAAGCUAAACCUUGAGGGAUUACAUUCUUGCCAAGACCGACAGGCAUAAGCUGAAAUUGCGUCGCAAGUUUUACGAUCGGCUUGGGUAAGGUUUAACCACUUAACCCCCCUUUGUUUUCGCCGCUACUGAAUUCUAUAAACUGUCAGCUUUCACACAAUUUAAAAUAUACACGUGUAUUUAAAAAUGUCAUGAAAAUUGUGUUGCUAGCUUCAUGUUGCAAAAGUGUUGCAAGCUUUUUCACAGCGUGAACGGAAUACUACUUUGCCAAGGAAAUGUUAUGGAAUUUCACACUUAUUUCACAGAAACAAAUUUUAUAUGCACUUUAACAGGUUUUCAUGUGAAACAGGAAUAAAAUACUAUGCUUAAGAACAAAGUUUUUUAAAUCAACAAAAAAUUAAUAAGAAAAUUUGAAGGAUUUUACAUAUUGGGUAUGGUAGCACGAAAAGUCACAAUCUGCUUAAUUGUCAGGUUGUUAAUAUGGCGACGAAAAAGUGAGAAUGGAACUACCUUGUGUUUUGUAUUAUGA